GACACAGUGGCUUAGUGGUUAGCAUGUUUGCCUAAUACCUCCAGGGUUGGGGGUUCGAAUUCCUGCCUGUGUGU